AUUGAACGCUGGCGGCAGGCCUAACACAUGCAAGUCGAACGGUAACAGGAAGCAGCUUGCUGCUUUGCUGACGAGUGGCGGACGGGUGAGUAAUGUCUGGGAAACUGCCUGAUGGAGGGGGAUAACUACUGGAAACGGUAGCUAAUACCGCAUAACGUCGCAAGACCAAAGAGGGGGACCUUCGGGCCUCUUGCCAUCGGAUGUGCCCAGAUGGGAUUAGCUAAUAGGUGGGGUAACGGCUCACCUAGGCGACGAUCCCUAGCUGGUCUGAGAGGAUGACCAGCCACACUGGAACUGAGACACGGUCCAGACUCCUACGGGAGGCAGCAGUGGGGAAUAUUGCACAAUGGGCGCAAGCCUGAUGCAGCCAUGCCGCGUGUAUGAAGAAGGCCUUCGGGUUGUAAAGUACUUUCAGCGGGGAGGAAGGGAGUAAAGUUAAUACCUUUGCUCAUUGACGUUACCCGCAGAAGAAGCACCGGCUAACUCCGUG
rnacentral:rRNA from 1 species